rnacentral:rRNA from 1 species
GAGUUUGAUCCUGGCUCAGAUUGAACGCUGGCGGCGUGCCUAACACAUGCAAGUCGAGCGGUAACAGGUGUAGCAAUACAUGCUGACGAGCGGCGAACGGGUGAGUAAUGCUUCGGAAUCUGCCCAAUGGUGGGGAAUAACCAGCCGAAAGGUUGGCUAAUACCGCAUAAGUCCUACGGGAGAAAGCAGGGGAUCGUAAGACCUUGCGCCGAUGGAUGAGCCGAAGCCGGAUUAGCUAGUUGGUAGGGUAACGGCCUACCAAGGCGACGAUCCGUAGCUGGUCUGAGAGGACGACCAGCCACACUGGGACUGAGACACGGCCCAGACUCCUACGGGAGGCAGCAGUGGGGAAUAUUGGACAAUGGGGGAAACCCUGAUCCAGCGACGCCGCGUGUGUGAAGAAGGCCUGCGGGUUGUAAAGCACUUUUAGUGGGGAUGAAAAGCUCAGGGCUAAUACCUCUGGGUCUUGACCUAACCCAAAGAAAAAGCACCGGCUAACUCUGUGCCAGCAGCCGCGGUAAUACAGAGGGUGCGAGCGUUAAUCGGAAUUACUGGGCGUAAAGCGUGCGUAGACGGUUAUGUAAGUCGGGUGUGAAAGCCCCGGGCUCAACCUGGGAAUUGCAUUCGAGACUGGAUAGCUAGGGUGCGGAAGAGGGAAGCGGAAUUUCAGGUGUAGCGGUGAAAUGCGUAGAUAUCUGAAGGAACACCAGUGGCGAAAGCGGCUUCCUGGUCCAGCACCGAC